GUGAAAGCAAACCGCUGAUAUGCGUAUGACACAUUUUAAAUUGAGAAAAUACCUGCGGAUUUUCUUAAAUAUGAGGUGAACCUAUGAGGGUUCUCUAUAUUUUUGAUUAUGAAAUCAAUAGAAAUUUUUUUACGGUAUUGUGGGCAUAUUAUGCUGUUAUAUAUCUAAAAUAUUUCCCAUAUCAUAUUAUGUUGAUAUUUCUA
rnacentral:lncRNA from 1 species